GAUGAACGCUGGCGGCGUGCCUAAUACAUGCAAGUCGAGCGAACGGACGAGAAGCUUGCUUCUCUGAUGUUAGCGGCGGACGGGUGAGUAACACGUGGAUAACCUACCUAUAAGACUGGGAUAACUUCGGGAAACCGGAGCUAAUACCGGAUAAUAUUUUGAACCGCAUGGUUCAAAAGUGAAAGACGGUCUUGCUGUCACUUAUAGAUGGAUCCGCGCUGCAUUAGCUAGUUAGUAAGGUAACGGCUUACCAAGGCAACGAUGCAUAGCCGACCUGAGAGGGUGAUCGGCCACACUGGAACUGAGACACGGUCCAGACUCCUACGGGAGGCAGCAGUAGGGAAUCUUCCGCAAUGGGCGAAAGCCUGACGGAGCAACGCCGCGUGAGUGAUGAAGGUCUUCGGAUCGUAAAACUCUGUUAUUAGGGAAGAACAUAUGUGUAAGUAACUGUGCACAUCUUGACGGUACCUAAUCAGAAAGCCACGGCCAACUACGUGCCAGCAGCCGCGGUAAUACGUAGGUGGCAAGCGUUAUCCGGAAUUAUUGGGCGUAAAGCGCGCGUAGGCGGUUUUUUAAGUCUGAUGUGAAAGCCCACGGCUCAACCGUGGAGGGUCAUUGGAAACUGGAAAACUUGAGUGCAGAAGAGGAAAGUGGAAUUCCAUGUGUAGCGGUGAAAUGCGCAGAGAUAUGGAGGAACACCAGUGGCGAAGGCGACUUUCUGGUCUGUAACUGACGCUGAUGUGCGAAAGCGUGGGGAUCAAACAGGAUUAGAUACCCUGGUAGUCCACGCCGUAAACGAUGAGUGCUAAGUGUUAGGGGGUUUCCGCCCCUUAGUGCUGCAGCUAACGCAUUAAGCACUCCGCCUGGGGAGUACGACCGCAAGGUUGAAACUCAAAGGAAUUGACGGGGACCCGCACAAGCGGUGGAGCAUGUGGUUUAAUUCGAAGCAACGCGAAGAACCUUACCAAAUCUUGACAUCCUUUGACAACUCUAGAGAUAGAGCCUUCCCCUUCGGGGGACAAAGUGACAGGUGGUGCAUGGUUGUCGUCAGCUCGUGUCGUGAGAUGUUGGGUUAAGUCCCGCAACGAGCGCAACCCUUAAGCUUAGUUGCCAUCAUUAAGUUGGGCACUCUAAGUUGACUGCCGGUGACAAACCGGAGGAAGGUGGGGAUGACGUCAAAUCAUCAUGCCCCUUAUGAUUUGGGCUACACACGUGCUACAAUGGACAAUACAAAGGGCAGCGAAACCGCGAGGUCAAGCAAAUCCCAUAAAGUUGUUCUCAGUUCGGAUUGUAGUCUGCAACUCGACUACAUGAAGCUGGAAUCGCUAGUAAUCGUAGAUCAGCAUGCUACGGUGAAUACGUUCCCGGGUCU
rnacentral:rRNA from 1 species